UCAUGAAACUUGCAGAAUUUGAUCCCAUAACAGGGUAAAGUGGCCUCUGUAAGUUUGAGUGCAGUGUGGCAAGCCAUUCUCGCUGGAGGAAGUCGCCAAU